rnacentral:rRNA from 1 species
ACCGGGUAAGGCCCGUGGCAGACCACCACGUUGAUAGGCCGGAAGUGUAAGCACAGCAAUGUGUUCAGCUGACCGGUACUAAUCGGCCGAGGGCUUGAUUUA